GCAACUAAAGAGGGAUAACAGGUCUGAAAAACUAAACAUGGAGGAAGAAAGCAGCAGACCAGUAAAGAAUGCAGUAUUAUUCUGGGUGUUCUGCUUUUGAGAUCCCUGGCGCCACGAGGGAGCGCCCAGAUUGAGAAGAGGUUCUUGGUCUCGCUGACUUCAAGAAAGAAGUAGCGGACCCUGCGGUGUUACAGUUCCUAAGGAGGGUGCAUCUGGAGAGUUCUUUCCUCCCACGGGUUCGCGGUCUCGCCGGCUUCGGCAGUGAAGCCCAGACCUCCAGGGCCAGGCUACAGCUCUCAAGCCGGGCCACGCCUGGGGUUGCUGAUUCCUCUCCGUGGGUUCGCCGUCUCACUGGCUUCAGGAGUGAAGCCGCACAGCUUCACGAGCCUGCAUGUGACCUCAGAAAAAUCCUCAGCACAGCAAUCCAGAAACCCAGCAGUGAUCUUUGCAACCAGCAUGUACCAAAAACUCAUCAGUUUGACAAAACUACCUUGAAUUCUCCUCCUGCAUUAAUAAUUCUCCACAUUUCAUUUGAGCAUCAUUUUGAAUGCCUGAUGGUUGUCAGGCUGAAUAUCUCUGGACAGGUCCUAGAAGGCACCAGAUUUCCAUUGCUCUAUG